rnacentral:lncRNA from 1 species
ACGGCCUUCAACACGGAGCCUUAGCUCACACCGAACAACAAGCUAUAAAGGGCCCCCAAAAUUACUAGUGUAAAACCAUUCAAACGGGAAACCAACGUCUAAUCUAUAUAAAACAAAACGAGAAACGAGAAACACGUAUAUAUUACAUAAACAAACGACAACUACUGUACAUCAGAUUCCUGACUUAGGACAGGUGCAAACAUUUG